rnacentral:rRNA from 1 species
UACGAAGGGGGCUAGCGUUGCUCGGAAUCACUGGGCGUAAAGCGCACGUAGGCGGACUCUUAAGUCGGUGGUGAAAUCCUGGAGCUCAACUCCAGAACUGCCUUCGAUACUGAGAGUCUCGAGUCCGAGAGAGGUGAGUGGAACUGCGAGUGUAGAGGUGAAAUUCGUAGAUAUUCGCAAGAACACCAGUGGCGAAGGCGGCUCACUGGCUCGGUACUGACGCUGAGGGACGAAAGCUAGGGGAGCGAAUGGG